rnacentral:rRNA from 1 species
ACCCGUUGAUCCUGCGGGAGGAUGCUGCUAUUGGGGUUCGACUAAGCCAUGCAAGUUCAGGCGCUCUUCGAGAGCACCGGCAUCAUGCUCAGUAACACGUCGGUAACCUAACCUUAGAUUCUGAAUAACCUCGGGAAACUGAGGGUAAUGCGGAAUAAGAGAAGAUAACUGGAAGGUAUUUUCUCCAAAAGGUGUCGUCUAAGGAUGGGCCGGCGGUCGAUUAGGUUGUUGGCGGGGUAAUGGCCCACCAAGCCUAGGAUCGAUAGGGGCCUUGAGAGAGGUAGCCCCGAGAAGGACACUGAGACACGGGUCCUAGCCCUACGGGGUGCAGCAGGCGCGUAACCUUUACACUGCACGAAAGUGCGAUAAGGGAACCCCAAGUGCUAAUGCUGUGCAUUAGCUUUUGCCAAGAGCAAAAAUCUUGGCGAAUAAGUGAUGGGUAAGACUGGUGCCAGCUGCCGCGGUAACACCAGCGUCACGAGUGGCAUCCAUUUUUAUUGGGUCUAAAGUGUCCGUAGCUGGAUUUGCAAGUCUUCUGUGAAAGCGUUGGGCUCAACCUAACGAAUUGCAGGAGAUACUGCAGAUCUUGAGACCGGGAGGGGCUAGAGGUAUUCUUAGGGUAGCGGUAAAAUGCGAUAAUCCUGGGAGGACCACCUGUGGCGAAGGCGUCUAGCUAGAACGGGUCUGACAGUGAGGGACGAAGGCUAGGGGAGCGAUCCGGAUUAGAUACCCGAGUAGUCCUAGCAGUAAACGCUGCAAGUUAGGUGUUGCAUAACCUUCAGGGUUGUGCAGUAUCGUAGGGAAGCCGUUAAACUUGCCACCUGGGGAGUACGGCCGCAAGGUUGAAACUUAAAGGAAUUGGCGGGGGAGCACUACCAGGGGUGCGGCGUGCGGUUUAAUCUAAUUCAACACAGAAAAUCUCACUAGAAGCGACAGCAGAAUGAAGGUCAGAUUGAAGGUUUUACCUGACAAGCUGAGAGGUGGUGCAUGGCCGUCGUCAGCUCGUGCCGUGAGGUGUCCUGUUAAGUCAGGCAACGAGCGAGACCUGUAUUUACAAUUGCUAGCGACUAUUCAUAGGAUCGAGCACAUUGUAGAAACUGCCUUGGAAACAAGGAGGAAGGUGCAGGCAACGAUAGGUCUGUAUGCCCCGAAUCUUCUAGGCUACACGCGCGCAACAAUGGUAAGCACAAUAGGACGCAACUCCGAAAGGAGAAGCUAAUCCCACAAAGCUUAUCCUAGUACAGAUCGGGGGCUGUAACUCGCCCUCGUGACGCCGGAAUCCCUAGUAAUCGUACUUCAACAGAGUACGGUGAAUAUGUCCCUGCUCCUUGCACACACCGCCCGUCAAACCAUCCGAGCAGGGUCUAGAUGAGUUCUAGCUUAUUGGUUAGGACGAAUCUAGGCUCAGUGAGGCGGGUUAAGUCGUCACAAGGUA